rnacentral:rRNA from 1 species
GAUGAACGCUGGCGGCGUGCCUAAUACAUGCAAGUCGAGCGAACAGACGAGGAGCUUGCUCCUCUGACGUUAGCGGCGGACGGGUGAGUAACACGUGGAUAACCUACCUAUAAGACUGGGAUAACUUCGGGAAACCGGAGCUAAUACCGGAUAAUAUAUUGAACCGAAUAGUUCAAUAGUGAAAGACGGUUUUGCUGUCACUUAUAGAUGGAUCCGCGCCGCAUUAGCUAGUUGGUAAGGUAACGGCUUACCAAGGCAACGAUGCGUAGCCGACCUGAGAGGGUGAUCGGCCACACUGGAACUGAGACACGGUCCAGACUCCUACGGGAGGCAGCAGUAGGGAAUCUUCCGCAAUGGGCGAAAGCCUGACGGAGCAACGCCGCGUGAGUGAUGAAGGUCUUCGGAUCGUAAAACUCUGUUAUUAGGGAAGAACAAAUGUGUAAGUAACUAUGCACGUCUUGACGGUACCUAAUCAGAAAGCCACGGCUAACUACGUG